GCUCUGGUAGCACAAUGGUUAAAGCACUCAUUUGCUAACUGAAAGGUUGGUGGUUCAAACCCACCCGGAAGUU
rnacentral:tRNA from 1 species